rnacentral:rRNA from 1 species
AUUGAACGCUGGCGGCAUGCCUUACACAUGCAAGUCGAACGGUAACAGGCCGCAAGGUGCUGACGAGUGGCGAACGGGUGAGUAAUGCAUCGGAACGUGCCCAGUCGUGUGGGAUAACUGCUCGAAAGAGCAGCUAAUACCGCAUACGACCUGAGGGUGAAAGCGGGGGACCGUAAGGCCUCGCGCGAUUGGAGCGGCCGAUGUCAGAUUAGCUAGUUGGUGGGGUAAAGGCCUACCAAGGCAACGAUCUGUAGUUGGUCUGAGAGGACGACCAGCCACACUGGGACUGAGACACGGCCCAGACUCCUACGGGAGGCAGCAGUGGGGAUUUUGGACAAUGGGCGCAAGCCUGAUCCAGCAAUGCCGCGUGCAGGAAGAAGGCCUUCGGGUUGUAAACUGCUUUUGUCAGGGAAGAAAUCUUCUGGGCUAAUACCCCGGGAGGAUGACGGUACCUGAAGAAUAAGCACCGGCUAACUACGUGCCAGCAGCCGCGGUAAGAC